CCGAAAUACGCACUUGUGCUCAUUCGUAAUGAGAAGGUCGAGGGUUCGACUCCUUUCUCCGGCACCA
rnacentral:tRNA from 1 species